rnacentral:rRNA from 1 species
AUGCAUGACAAGAUGGAACAGGAAGUCAGUUCUCCUCUCCCAACUGCAUCUUCAGACUCCAUUACUGCAUCUUCUACAUCUGCUCUACUGAAAAACAGAAAGAGGAAAAACAACGCACCAUUGGUUGAAACUGAGGUCAACGAGAAGGACACCACUGAAGAGCAGUUGCAGACUAAGAAUAAGAAGAGCAAGAGCUCCAACCCAUCUAAGGAGCACAUCAAGAAGACUGUAGCUUCCAAGGAUAGCCCCAAGGCCACCUAG